GACGAACGCUGGCGGCGUGCUUAACACAUGCAAGUCGAACGGAAAGGCCCUGCUUUUGUGGGGUGCUCGAGUGGCGAACGGGUGAGUAACACGUGAGUAACCUGCCCUUGACUUUGGGAUAACUUCAGGAAACUGGGGCUAAUACCGGAUAGGAGCUCCUGCUGCAUGGUGGGGGUUGGAAAGUUUCGGCGGUUGGGGAUGGACGCGCGGCUUAUCAGCUUGUUGGUGGGGUAGUGGCUUACCAAGGCUUUGGCGGGUAGCCGGCCUGAGAGGGUGACCGGCCACAUUGGGACUGAGAUACGGCCCAGACUCCUACGGGAGGCAGCAGUGGGGAAUAUUGCACAAUGGGCGGAAGCCUGAUGCAGCAACGCCGCGUGCGGGAUGACGGCCUUCGGGUUGUAAACCGCUUUCACCUGUGACGAAGCGUGAGUGACGGUAAUGGGUAAAGAAGCACCGGCUAACUACGUG
rnacentral:rRNA from 1 species